ACCCCCACUGCAGCACGUGUGGUCAGUGAGGUGGUGGCCCACAGUGUCCAGCAGAACAGUGACAGGACAAGAUGGGAAAACUGAGCUGGCGAGAGCCGCCAUCACAGCCCACCCCAUAUCUUGCCCCACGACAAUGAGGCGUUUGUAGAAGCUUCGCUGGUCCCCACCCACAGGAUGGCAGAGAGACCCCCCAGCCCCUCCAGGGCAGCCCAAGAGGAGGAUGGGGCUCCCCAGGAGAGCAGCUCUCCAGCAGAGCCCCAUGAUGUGACUGCAGAGCAGCCCCUGCAACUGGAUGCCAGCUGGCUGCCAAUGUACAGAGUGAAGCAGAAAGCCCUAGACUUUCUCCAGGAAUUUGCCAGGAGCCCCUACCAGGGUGAGGAUGACAAAAGGAAGUUCCUGGAGAACAUCAUCUAUGUGUGCAGAAGUGCCUUGGACACUGGCUUGUUAGAGGGCCUGGAAAUCUUCUUCCAAAAUAUCAAUCUGGUAGAGAAGAUCAAGAUGCUGCUGGAAGAGGAGCCCAAGAAGCAUCUGCGCUCACCUGUGAGGGAGCUCGCCAUGCGGGCCAUCACUGUUUUGAGCUCUGUGGGCACAGUGCUAGAGGGCAAAAGGAGAAGCCUCCUCGAAGCCUGUAUCUCCAGUGUCUUCUGGCUUCCUUCAAACAAGGGCAUGAGGCAAAGAAACAGAUACUACUCAACAACCUUGGAUGCCAUGGAUGUCAUGCUGGAGACGAUGGUGUUCAACUCUCCUCCACCCAGAGUCGUUGAGGAGCUGCAGCACAUCUUGGAGAUGCUGCUGGACCUGAUCGACUCUGAGAACACAGAUGUGCAGAUGAGGGCUGUGGAGAGGAUUGGGAAUCUGAGCUAUGCACUGUCCACACAGAAGCACUGGCCUGAUGACUUCAGAACAAAACAGAUCCCCAUCCUGGGACAGCUGCUAGGUCGUCUUCUCUGCUUCCAGUUUUCUGAGGGAAAGACAAAACAUUCAGCUUCAAGAGCUUUUUAUUACCUCUGUCAAUUCAUCUUUGACAAAAACAGGAGGAUAUCAUACCCUGAAGAGUACUAUAGAAAACACCUGCGUCUACCUGUCACCUUCUUGCAGUGGUGCAACAACAUCAGAGCCCAGAUCAAGGCCUUGGAAUGUUAUCUCACACCUUCUGAGAGGACGUACAUCAUGCUUGCAGCCAUCGAGGCGAUGCAGGACUCCAGCACCUCUGGCCAUCAUGCAGCAAGACACUUCCUGCAGCUGGCCAUGAGAUCCCCUGACUUCUGGCUGACAGAUGUGCCAAGCAUUGUGAGGGGCAUCCAUGAGUGCCUGGAGCACACCAGCCUGGCAUCUGAUGUGGAGAGCCUGGACACCUUGCUUGCAGUGCUGGCUCACAAAUUCCCCAGGGAACUGGUGAGCAGCAUGUUGACUUCCACAGCACCAUAUGACAGCAUCGCCCUGGCCGUGUGGGACCAGAUGUAUUCUCAGCUCAACAUCACGUCCAACUUCUGGAUGGAGCUGCAGGGAAGGGUUCACUCACUGGAAGAACAGGACGGCGAGCUCUUCAGCCCCACUGUGUUGUAUGCCAUCAGAGUUUAUAAGGUGACACUGAACCCUACCAACACUGAAAUCGCUGACCUCCUCAGGGACAGUCAGAAGUGUCCAAAGCCGGAAUUUCUCUCACUUGCACUCACAGGUCUCAGCAAUGCCUUGAAGAGUUCUGAGAUGGCAAGAAGACUUCGGUUCCUGCUGCCGGACAUUGUGGAGCUCCUGCAGCACACCAACAAAGUCAUCAGGCUAAAGGCCCUGCGGGUGCUGCACAUCAUGGUGCAGCACAUAGGGAGGAAUGGUGCCAGCAGAAUGGCCGUGCGGCUCUUGCAGCAGCUCCUGCCACUCUUUGAUGAUGAGUGCACUGAGGUGCGAGAGUACUCCAUCUUCCUCUUCAAACAACUGGUGGAAGCUGCAGUGUGCUGGGACGUGUGGAGGAUGAAACGAAAAGCACGGAAGGGAGUGAUGCCACUGCUCCUCCACAUGACUGAGAUGUCCGAGAGCGUGGCCCAGGUCUCCAGGGAAGCCCUCCUUUCCGUGGCUGAGAUCCUGGGGUGGGAAGAGCUCAAGCAGCCGAUCGAAACAAAGCACCCGCUGGAUAUCGCAGAGCGCUUGCUGGAGAGAAACAUUAACAGGGUAGAAGAGUACCUGGAACAGAGCUGGCCAUACCUGCAGUGCCCUCAGACCACCGUGAGAGAGACAGCCCGCCGGUUCACUCUGAUGGCCAGGUGGUACCUGAGGGACCUGAACGACGACGAUAACCUCAGCAUCAUGACUGCUAAGUCCUCGGACGCAACCCGUGAGUCCCAGUCCCUGGCAGCUCGGGUCAACCGGAUGCUGAGAGCUCUCCGCCUGCAGCGAAGACUCAGAGCAACCUGCCGAGUGCUGUGCUGUGGGUGCUCAUGCUGGUGCUGAGUCAGACACAGGGGUCACUUUCCUUGAGGACACAGGGAAUAGAAUUUAACAAAACUUGCGACGAAUUUAAUAAAAUCGGUGAAAAUAAAAACAGGCUUGGUUUGGGGGAAGGAGGUUCGUCCAGGACGGAGGAGGCAUUUGAGAUAGACAUGGUUCCUUUCCUUGUGCUCAGCCACCCACCCCUGAGGCUCACCAGGAUCUAAAUGGCCCGUGACAAAAGACCUAUGAUUAAGUGCUUCUUUGCUUUGUUACACUUCUGGGUGAAACUGGUGUUCCUGAAAAUAAAAUAACUGAAAAAAGAUGAAAAGGAGAGAGGACUGAUUGCAGACAGUGCUGGAGGCUCUUCAGUGUUUGGUCCAAAUUUGCUGGAAUUUUAGUCACAACUCCUUUUGGGUCAAAUGCAACAUUUUACUCAACCAGAAAUAAAGCAUUUAAUUUUA